GGGCCCGCACAAGCGGUGGAGCAUGUGGUUUAAUUCGAUGAUACGCGAGGAACCUUACCAGGGCUUAAAUGUAAGUUGCAUUAGUUAGAGAUAGCUAUUUCUUCGGACUACUUACAAGGUGCUGCAUGGUUGUCGUCAGCUCGUGCCGUGAGGUGUCAGGUUAAGUCCUAUAACGAGCGCAACCCCUGUUGUUAGUUGCCAUCGAGUCAUGUCGGGAACUCUAACAAGACUGCCGGUGCAAACCGUGAGGAAGGUGGGGAUGACGUCAAAUCAUCACGGCCCUUACGUCCUGGCUACACACGUGCUACAAUGGCCGGUACAGAGAGCAGCCACUACGCGAGUAGGCG
rnacentral:rRNA from 1 species